rnacentral:lncRNA from 1 species
CUGGCUGUUGACUGUAUUUUCUGAUUUAUGGAGUGAUAAAAUUAAAUAUCCAAAAUCCCCUCUGUAAAAAAAACAUUUACAGUGAUAUUAGUAAAAUUUUUUACCUGUGGUGUCUUGCCUUUAAUAUAAAAUUGUUUUAAAAAACAUGAAUAGCUAAAAUGCUUUCAUGCUCACAAUGACAUGUACUAUAACAAGAGCUAAAGCUAUCACUGGCAUUGAUAUUGAUCUCCCAAAUGUUAACCUUGUUAACUUUUAAAAUUUAAUCUCACAUUGAUAGCAUUACAUUUUAUCUUUAACAAAUUCUUCUCCUAAGGUCAAAGGUUAGUGAAAAUCUUAUCAAUAGACAGGUAGAGCAAUAGAAAUGUCUGGAAUUAAAUGCAUUUGCAUUGAUAUGGGUGAGUUCGCUAUAAAGACCUUCAGUGUGAAAGGCAGCCAGAGUUAGAGCCUUCAGCUUGUUACCAGGAUGUUCUCUAAUGCUCUGCACAGAGAAGAGACUGAAGCAGCACUAUGGACCAGCACUGGGAGGAAACGUAUUAGAGAGCGAUUUCGUGCUACUUUGGCAGGACUCCUGGAGUUAGAGGUCCUGAGAGUCAGACACAAAAUAAUGGUGGAGACGGCCCUGGGAAAAACCAAAGUUGAUCCUAAAGAUUCAACGUCAACAAUUAUCCAGCAGAGACAGCAUGAUUACUUUGUGGAUAAAGACUCAUUCAGACUAAAGCUCAAGCGCAGUUUUUCUGAAGAGGCUGUUCACGAGGCUAGAAAAUCCAGUGGACUUUGGUCAUGUUCCAGUCAUUCAUCUGAAGACCUGCUUCAUCAUCAGUGUCUGACGGAAAGAAGCUGGCAUGACCAAGAACUUCACUCGCACAUGGAAAGUCAGUCAAGGGCAAGCUCAGGUUUUUGCGACUUUGGGAAUGUUUUUACCCCCUCUGACUGUGAUGAAACCAUCAGCUCUCUCUCCACCUCUUUGGCCUCCUUGAAAUACAAGAACACUCUCGGAGAUGGAGAAUGUUUCAUGGUUGAGGAACCUCAGAGGAGCCGACCCAUUUUAUUACGAAAGCACAGAGGAGUUCAAUUCUAUUUCUCAGAUGAGAUGAUUCCUAAAGAUGGUUUCCGAUUUGUGGUGGAUCUGUAUCCAGACUCGCACUGGCCAGAUAUUUCAGACAUAUUUCAACGCAAAGUUGUCUUGCAACCCACCUACCGUUCUGAUAUUCCAGGUCACCAGGGCAUGGAAGUGUAUCGCUAUCCCAGUCCACUGCAUGCUGUGGCCCUGCAAAGUCCACUAUAUGCACCAAAAAGCCCCCAGAACAACAGGAAAAAGAAUGGAAGACGUUAUUCUGGAAGCUCUACAUGCUCCUUACUGAGACCAGGCUUGAAGGUUUCAGAACAUUCCUGCUGUCUUGCAAAAUCCUAUUUAUCAUCC